GACGUAGGGCGCGAGCGUUGUCCGGAUUUAUUGGGCGUAAAGAGCUCGUAGGCGGCUUGUCGCGUCGUCCGUGAAAACUUGGGGCUCAACCCCAAGCUUGCGGUCGAUACGGGCAGGCUCGAGUUCGGUAGGGGAGAUCGGAAUUCCUGGUGUAGCGGUGAAAUGCGCAGAUAUCAGGAGGAACACCGGUGGCGAAGGCGGAUCUCUGGGCCAUUACUGACGCUGAGGAGCGAAAGCGUGGGGAGCGAACAGG
rnacentral:rRNA from 1 species